rnacentral:rRNA from 1 species
UAAGCGGAGGAAAAGAAACUAACAAGGAUUCCCCUAGUAACUGCGAGUGAAGCGGGAAAAGCUCAAAUUUAAAAUCUGGUGGUCUUUGGCCAUNCGAGUUGUAAUUUAGAGAAGCGUCUUCCGCGCUGGACCGUGCACAAGUCUCCUGGAAUGGAGCGUCAUAGAGGGUGAGAAUCCCGUCUUUGGCACGGACACGCCAGGGCUUUUGUGAUGCGCUCUCGAAGAGUCGAGUUGUUUGGGAAUGCAGCUCAAAAUGGGUGGUGAACUCCAUCUAAAGCUAAAUAUUGGCGAGAGACCGAUAGCGAACAAGUACCGUGAGGGAAAGAUGAAAAGCACUUUGGAAAGAGAGUGAAACAGUACGUGAAAUUGUUGAAAGGGAAACGCUUGAAGUCAGUCGCGUCGACCGAGACUCAGCCUCGCCUUGGCUUGGUGUAAUUCUCGGCUGACGGGUCAGCAUCAAUUUUGCCUCUUGGAUAAUGGCGAGGGAAAUGUGACACCUUUACGGUGUGUUAUAGUCUCUCGUCGCAUGCAAGGGUUGGGAUUGAGGAACUCAGCACGCGCCUUCGGGUGUCGGGGUUACGCCCACGAUACGUGCUUAGGAUGUUGGCGUAAUGGCUUUAAACGACC